rnacentral:lncRNA from 1 species
GGGGGAGUGAUUAGACAAUGCAUGAUACAUUUUCAACUUACUAAUUAAAUCGCUAUUGUCACAAUAACUAAGUGGAUAAAAAAGGGUAGCCCGGUGCACUAAAGCUCCCGCUAUGCGCAGGGUUCGGGGAAGGGCCCCACUACAAGGGUGUAUUGUACACAGCCUUACCUUGCUUUUCUGUCAGAGGUUGUUUCAAAGGCUUGAACCCGUGACCUCCUAGUCAUAUAGAAGCAAUGUUACCAGUUACUCAAAGGCUCCCUUUACAAUAACUAAGUUUAUAUAAACAGGGGCG